UUGAAGGGAAAGCCCCAAAUAAUAGAGCAGCUGUAUGGGAAGAACCAUUGGAGAGAAAGAGAGAGAAAUGAAGAAUCCAAAUGCCCAGACAAGAAAAGAGACUACUGUUCACACUCCAUUGUCCUUGUGAUCUCUUACACUAAUCUCUCCAAAUACAAGAAAAGAAAAGAAAUCCCCUCAAAUCUCAUCCUAUUUUCCCAAACUCCAAGUUCAUGAUCUGAUCAAAAGUUCUUUUUUUUUUUUUCCAGAAGAAAUCAGAAAGAGGGGAUUUUUAGCUGAUAAAGAGUAGAGGAAGUUACUGAUUUGUGUUAAAAUGAGAGUGGACCAAGCAGAAAUGUCUGAAGACGAGGAUCGACCCCAAUCUCUAGAUCUGGGUAUUAACGCCGCCGCCGAAUCCGCUAACAAAACCCACAAUUACAGCGGCGGCGGCGGCGAGGUUGGUGGGUCUGGCUCGGUUGAGAACGUUCUCCAUAAUGUUCUUGAGAACGUGCUUCACUUCCUUACUUCUCGACGUGACCGGAACGCGGCUUCACUAGUUUGCAAGUCGUGGUAUCGCGUUGAAGCCCUAACUCGAUCCGAACUCUUCAUUGGAAAUUGCUAUGCGGUUUCUCCUCGUCGAGUUACGUCGCGGUUCAAUCGAGUUCGGUCAGUGUCGAUUAAAGGGAAGCCUCGGUUUGCUGAUUUCAACCUGAUGCCGCCCAAUUGGGGGGCUCACUUUUCCCCAUGGGUGGCGGCCAUGGCUAAGUCAUACCCUUGGCUCGAGAGAAUCUAUUUGAAGCGCAUGUCUGUGACUGACGACGAUCUGGCCUUGCUUGCUGACUCUUUUCCUGGCUUCAAGGAGCUUGUGUUAUUUUGCUGUGAAGGAUUUGGCACCAGUGGUAUUGCUGUUGUUGCUACCAGAUGCAAGCACCUUCGAGUACUUGAUCUGAUCGAAUCUGACAUACAAGAUGAUGAAGUGGAUUGGAUAUCUUGUUUCCCUGAGAAGGAAACUUGUCUCGAAUCUCUGAUCUUUGAUUGUGUUGAGUGCCCCAUUAAUUUUGAGGCACUGGAGAGGUUGGUGAGUAGAUCCCCAUCGUUGAAGAAACUUGGGGUGAAUCGUUACGUUUCCAUUGCGCAGUUAUAUCAUUUGAUGAUUCGGGCUCCUUAUUUAACACAUUUGGGAACUGGUUCGUUCAGUACUUCAGAGGCUGUGGUUCUUGGGGAGUUAGAGCCUGAUUAUGCCUCUGCUUUUGCUGCUUGCAAAUCCUUAGUUUGUCUCUCUGGAUUUAAGGACAUUUUGCCUGAUUACCUACCUUGUAUCUAUCCAGUUUGUGCUAAUCUCACUACUCUGAACUUGAGCUAUGCAAAUAUAACUCCUGAACAACUCAAACCGGUUAUAAGCCACUGCCACAAGCUCCAGACUUUCUGGGCUCUUGAUUCGAUUUGUGAUGAAGGACUUCAGGCUGUUGCUUCAACUUGCAAGGAAUUGCGAGAACUUAGGGUUUUUCCUGUUGAUGCCCGAGAAGAUGGUGAAGGCCCCAUUUCUGAAGUGGGCUUCCAAGCAAUAUCUGAGGGUUGCAGGAAAUUGCAAUAUAUUCUCUACUUUUGCCAGAGAAUGACCAAUGCAGCUGUGGUAGCUAUGUCACAGAACUGCCAAGAUCUUGUUGUGUUUAGACUCUGUAUUAUGGGACGACACCAGCCAGACCAUAAAACUGGAGAACCCAUGGAUGAAGGAUUUGGUGCCAUUGUUAUAAACUGUAAGAAGCUAACUAGGCUUGCGAUAUCUGGAUUAUUGACAGAUCGUGCUUUCAGCUAUAUCGGAAAGUAUGGGAAACUGGUACGCACCCUGUCAGUUGCUUUUGCUGGAAACAGUGAUUUGGGAUUGAAAUAUGUGCUCGAGGGCUGUCAUAAAUUGCAGAAACUUGAGAUUAGAGAUAGCCCUUUUGGGGAUGUAGCCUUACAAUCUGGCUUGCAUCAUUACUACAAUAUGAGAUUCCUCUGGAUGUCAGACUGUAAAUUAUCUCGCGAGGGCUGCCAAGAGGUUGCCAAAGCAAUGCCUCACUUGGUGGUUGAAGCGAUGAGGAAUGAUAUAGAGGAAGUGGAUGAGGUGAUGGGGAAUGAUAUAGAGGAUGUGGAUGAGGUGAUGGGGAAUGAUAUAGAGGAAGUGGAUGAGGUGAUGGGGAAUGAUAUAGAGGAAGUGGAUGAGGUGAUGGGGAAUGAUAUAGAGGAAGUGGAUAAUCAUCCUCAGUUGGAGGAUUUGGAAAACGAGGUACGGGUGUUAUACAUGUAUCGGUCUCUUGAAGGGCCAAGGGAUGAUGCUCCAGGAUUUGUAGACAUCCUAUAGAAUUUCAGGUUCCCUAUAACUUGGGCUGGUUGAGCAAGAUCAUACUGUUGUGUGGGAAGAUUUAUUAUUAAUUACUGCAGGAAUGUUCUUUACUACCCUAAAGAAGGUUCCUGUCUCCCCCAUGAAGAAAGUUGACCAUCUGUUUAUUAGUCAGGAAUACUGCAGCGGCAUUGAAGCCAAGUUUCUUGAAUGGAACAUACUUCUUCUGGGGUAUGGAGCUUCCUAUGUGAUCCAUCAAGCUAAACAUGUUGUCAUAUCGGCACGGUACCUUUCUAAUUGUUAAUGUUUCUCCAAGUCUGCAUUGGAUAACUUUAACAAGAGAGGUUCAGAUAGAGCAGGGGUUGUGGAUCUGCAUUAAAAGCUUUGAUAACAACUGAGGGUCUUGUUAUCCAUCGAAUCGAGAUAGAACUCUAAAACGUUGUUGGAUGGUUGAUCAACUAAGAGGUCCAAGAACAUUGUCCUUUCUCUAAGGUCAUCAAUAGCAAGGGGAUCGUUGCAGUUCCUUUGUAGGGUCAAUCGUUUGAUGAUUUGUCACAUCCCCUGAGUUUGCGUUUUAAAGCAGCCAUCCAUCAGUGGGCUCUAUCUAUCUCUCUCUCUCUCAUUAUUAAGAAAGAAACAACCUCUCCUUGGUAGCAAAGAGGUAAAAGCAAUGCUAUAAUCAAAGUGGGUUCCAUCUGUAACAUUGAAUGUGUGGGGAAAGCAAAGCUGAGGCUUUGCUUUCUUGUCUAACCUUAUGUUGUCUAAGCAAGUUGGCAACAGCCUAUGUUUUCCUUCUGCCACCACCUCCAUUCUUACCCUUUUUACUUGGGGGUGUUGAAAUAGUCUCAAUCUAAAAUAUAAAUGAGACUGUUAAAUUUUUUCUAUGUUUGUUGGAUUGGUUAAAAAAAAAUUUGGGUUGACACAACCCAAUCCAAAUUACAUAUAUAUUAUAAAAAAAUAUACAUUUAUCUUUAUUUAAA